rnacentral:rRNA from 1 species
GACGAACGCUGGCGGCGUGCUUAACACAUGCAAGUCGAACGGAAAGGCCCUGCUUUUGUGGGGUGCUCGAGUGGCGAACGGGUGAGUAACACGUGAGUAACCUGCCCUGACUUUGGGAUAACUUCAGGAAACUGGGGCUAAUACCGGAUAGGAGCUCCUGCUGCAUGGUGGGGGUUGGAAAGUUUCGGCGGUUGGGGAUGGACUCGCGGCUUAUCAGCUUGUUGGUGGGGUAGUGGCUUACCAAGGCUUUGACGGGUAGCCGGCCUGAGAGGGUGACCGGCCACAUUGGGACUGAGAUACGGCCCAGACUCCUACGGGAGGCAGCAGUGGGGAAUAUUGCACAAUGGGCGGAAGCCUGAUGCAGCAACGCCGCGUGCGGGAUGACGGCCUUCGGGUUGUAAACCGCUUUCGCCUGUGGCGAAGCGUGAGUGACGGUAAUGGGUAAAGAAGCACCGGCUAACUACGUG